rnacentral:rRNA from 1 species
ACUCCAGUCGAUGCUGCUGGAGGACACUGCUAUCAGAUUUCGACAGCCAUGCAAGUUUGCUCAACGGCUUCGUUGGGCGGCGUACGGCUCAGUAACACGUGGUCAAUCUACCGCGAAAAGGCGCAUACCCUCGGGAAACUGAGGUCAAUUCGCCAUAGGCUACGGCACCUGGAAGGAGCUGUAGCCGAAAGGGGUCCAAAUUGCAGGACUUCCGUUUCGCGAUGAGACUGCGGCGGAUCAGGCAGAUGGCGGGGUAACGGCCCACCAUACCGAUAACCUGUAGGGGAUAUGAGAGUAUAGGCCCCGAGAAGGGCACUGAGACAAGGGCCCUAGCGCUACGGCGUGCAGCAGGCGCGCAAACUCCACACUGGGCGGAAGCCUGAUGGGGGGAAUCUGAGCGGUUCACUUCGGUGAACCUUUUGCCAAGUAUAGCAAGCUUGGCGAAUAAGUGCCGGGCAAGACCGGUGGCAGCCGCCACGGUAAUACCGGCGGCACAAGUGGUGUCCACGAUUAUUGGGCUUAAAGCGCUCGUAGCUGGCCAGAACCGUCUCAUGUGAAAUAUUGGCGCCCAACGUCAAUGCGUGCAUGAGAUACCUUCUGGCUGGGGAGUGGGUGAGGUCAGGGGUACUUAUGGGGAAGGGGUAAAAUCCUAUAAUCCUAUAAGGACCAACGGUGGCGAAGGCGCCUGACUAGAACACAUCCGACAGUGAGGAGCGAAGGCUAGGAGAACGAAUCGGAUUAGAUACCCGAGUAGCCCUAGCAGUAAAUUAUGCAGACUCUGAUGUUGCAGGUAUCUUGGAUGCCUGCAGUACCGUAGAGUAAUUGUUAAGUCUGCCGCCUGGGGAGUACGGCCGCAAGGUUGAAACUUAAAGCAAUUGGCGGGGGAGCACCACAAGGGGUGGAUGCUGCGGUUCAAUUGAAUACAACGUCGGAAAUAUUACCGGGAGCGACGGCAGGAUGAAGGCCAGACUAAAGAUCUUGCCUGACAAGCCGAGAGGUACUGCAUGGCGAUCGUCAGCUCGUGGUGUGAACUGUCCGGUUAAGUCCGGUAACGAGCGAGACCUUCACUGACAGUUGCAACUUGCACAGCGGUGUGCGGGGCACUCUGUCGGGACCGCCUCUGUUUAAAGAGGAGGAAGGAGAGGGCAACGGUACGUCAGUAUAGUCUGAAUCUUCCGGGCAACACGCGGCAUACAAAGGUCGGAACAAUGAGAUGCAACACCGAAAGGUGAAGCCAAUCCCCUAAAACCGACCUGAGUUCGGAUUGAGGGCUGAAACUCGCCCUCAUGAAGCUGGAAUCCCUAGUAAUCGCUUGUCACUAUCGAGCGGUGAAUAUGUCCCAGCUCCUUGCACACACCGCCUGCCAAGUCACCCAAGUGGAGCCCUAGUGAGGCAUGGUUUUCGGACCAUUUCGAGUUAGGGUUCUGUGAGGAGGGCUAAGGCAUAACAAGGUAUCCGUAGGGGAACCUGCGGAUAGAUCACCUCGA